UAAUCAAUUCCAAUCUUUUUAUACUCAUAUUUAUACAACUAAUGAAGAUUUUAGGGUUGGGGAGAGUAAGAAAGAGCCGCACGUGGGAUGCAGUACUGUGUGAUGUGAACCUCGGUUCACUCCGAUGAUUUCCAAUGUAUAUGUUUGUUUAUCGGCUCCGGCAACAACAACCUCAGUUUAGGGAUGAAUCGAUGUGAGGAGAUAGAUACACAAGCAGUAAAGGAUGGAACGUUUGAUCGAUGUUGGUUGAUGAAGCUUGGUAACCGGAAAACGAGCCCCACAAGUCCUAGAGAUCGACUAAAGAAGAACAGUCAUCAGGGCGAGGCAGUGUGUAGAGUCGGCGCUCCAAGUUUCACGAAUGGACUAGGUAAUUUCUCAAUGUCAGCCUUCCUUUCUUUGGGCUUUAACUAAAACAAGAUAAAUGGACAAGAAUUUCUUCAAUGGCCUGAUUCCAAGAUGAUUGUAGGUACAUGGCUUCUCAGUUCUCGAUCAGCAAAUAAGAUUGCAAUAAGGCAUGCACAUUUUUUGAGUUUAAAUUUAUGAAGUGCAUAUUUCUCCAUUUAAUAUUAAAUAAUCCAUGUUUAAGUCGUGACUUGGUUGUAGGAUUAUAAUUAUAAUUAAAACUAAAUUAAGCUGACAAGUUAUAAUGUGUCGAUCUUGGUUGGGUUUGGGUUCAACCCAUUUAGUAAUUGGGUUGAAAUUUUUAACCCAAACCAACAUAUUUAUUUAAAUAGAUUGAUAUUUUCAGCCUAACCCAACCUUUUUAAAUAAACGAGUUGUCACCAGGUUGACUUAUUUAUGUACUUACCGACCCAACCUAUUAAAUAAAUAGGUUAAACUUGAGUUAAUCCAUUUAAAAUCAAAUAAAUAAAUUAAUUAACUAAAUAAUAUACCAAUUCGUAGUCAUUCUUUACAACGUUAUUGUUUUUUCUAAUAGGGCUUCUUCUCCUUCACAUUUGAAGAUCAUUAUAACAUACAUGUUUGCCUUCUUCUAUGUUGUCACUCGUCUUAAACAUAUAAAGUAAUGACGAAAAGGGUGGUGAAGCACCAUCUAGUGGCCGAGGCAAUAGGGGGGACUAACCCCCUAACCUUCUCUUAUUUUCCUUAUAUUAGUUGUAUUAUAUAUUAUUACUUUAUUAGUAAUAAACCUAAUUUAAAUGUUUUAAGCCCAAAAGAAAUCCACUCAUAAGUCCACCAACCUGUGACAACCCGACACUUUUACACUGUACAAUCGAUCCACAUAUCUAUAAUUCACUUGAAUUUAGCAUCUUUUAGCAGAAUGUUGGGUCCACACGAGUGCUUUAGGCUUAGUAUAUCAUAGACUAUGAAUUAUAGAUAUGUGGAUCGAUUGUACAGUGUAAAAGUGUCGGGUUGUCACAUCCUCCCCCCGUUAGAGGAAUUUCAUCCCGAAAUUAGAGUUCAAGCAGCUAAGUUAGUACAAAUAACUAAGUAAAAAGAUGGGGAUAUUUAAGUUUCAUUUGAUCCUUGCGCUCCCAAGUGAACUCCGGGCCUCGUUUGGCGUACCAACGAACCUUCACUAUAGGGAUGUGGCUUUGUUUUAAUGCGGCUCCCAAGAUGGGGAUAUUUAAGUUUCAUUUAAUCCAUCUUUUUACUUAGUUAUUUGUACUAACUUAGCUGCUUGAACUCUAAUUUCGGGAUGAAAUUCCUCUAACGGGGGGAGGAUGUGACAACCCGACACUUUUACACUGCACAAUCGAUCCACAUAUCUAUAAUUCACUUGAAUUUAGCAUCUUUUAGCAGAAUGUUGGGUCCGCACGAGUGCUUUAGGCUUAGUAUAUCAUAGAUAUGGGCCUUAAGAAAGGUUAGGAAAGGUGUUGCAUCACAAAAAUCGAGCCAAACACACCAAAAGAGGUGUGUGCGGCCGCACACUAGAGUGUGCGGCCAGCCAGCCGCACACCCAGCCGCAAACCCCCUCCCAACCUCACACCCGACCCUAUAUAUAGUAGAGGACCCCCCUUCCAUUCAAUUUUGGCUACACCUCCUCUCUCUCUACUUUCUCUGUAACGACCCAAAUUUUCACGUCCAAAAAUUUCGUUUAUAAAACAUAACAUAGAAAACAUUAACAGUUAAAACAUUGUUUAGUUGAGCCACUUCACAUCGAAAACCAAAGUGAAAACCAUAACAUUUGAUCAACCAAAAUAUUAGAGUAUCAAUCCUAGAAUAAACUCGUAACUGCGGAAACAAGAGAGUGUGUGUGACAUGCUGCUACCGCGCCGGCUCCUUUCCCUUGGCUGAGGAGGUACCUGAAACCAAAACUGAAAACCGUAAGCACAAAGCUUAGUGAGUUCCCCCAUCGUACCACAUACCAUACAAACACAUAACACACAUACUGCCAGGCUAUUCUGGGGUGCCUGUCUACNUAAGGCCAUUCUGGGGUGCCGACUACCCGUGCAGCUAUUCUGGGGUGCCGUCCUACCCAUGUCAAGCCAUUAUGGGGCGCUGACCUACCCAUGUCGAGCCAUUCUGGGGUGCUGACUACCCUUCGGUCCUAACAACCGAACCCCGGGGACUGGUCCCCUCUUACUACCUCUAUCGCAUAAAACACAACAAGCCAGCAUACAAACAUAUCAUCACAUACUGCCAGACGUGUCUGGGGUGUCUGACUACCCUUCGGUCCUAACAACCGAGCUCUACUAUUACAACACAUCAAGCUAGCAUAUAGCAUAUCAGGUAGUAACAAGUNUCUACUACUAUAACACAUCAAGCUAGCAUAUAGCAUAUCAGGUAGUAACAAAUCUAGAUGAUAUCACAAAGACAAUCAUCUAACAUACAACUCUUACUGGUGGGCCGACAUUGUGGCCGUAGACCCACCGCUACUGGAAGGUAAUUCACCUCGAAGUAGCUGCUGAUCUGAUCGGGAACUGACUUUCUAUUGCUGCUGCUACUGCUCCGGAAAUCCUCCGGCUNNNNNNNNNNNNNNNNNNNNNNNNNNNNNNNNNNNNNNNNNNNNNNNNNNNNNNNNNNNNNNNNNNNNNNNNNNNNNNNNNNNNNNNNNNNNNNNNNNNNCCCCGUGACUCACUACUCAAACUCGACACAACGAAAAGGAGACAACUCGGAGACUCGCGAGCCGACUCGCCGAGUCAUCGCCAUGGAAUCACUACAUACGCGAUUUUGCUCGAUUCCAGUCUAUGCCAUUCAUAGAUCUGGGUUCCUAGAGCAUGAAUCACACGUAAAGUUUCCAACUUUACGUGUAGAUAUUCACCAAUGAGGGAUUUAGCGCUCAAAAUGCCUCAAAAGGGUAGAUCUAGGGUGAACAAGCAACAAGGGUCCAUAAAGGUAACGGAUCUGAGCUCCUGGAGCUCAAUCUUGCCUAGAUCUAAAGGCCAAUCAACUUAUUANCGUCGAGCCUGUUCUUGAUCUAAGAAGAUUGCCUUGAACUCGCCGAGUCAGGGCAUUGACUCGCCGAGUUCCUCCAUGGGUGAGUUCGGCUUCCAACUCACCGAGUCACACCCCGUGACUCACUACUCAAACUCGACACAACGAAAAGGAGACAACUCGGAGACUCGCGAGCCGACUCGCCGAGUCAUCGCCAUGGAAUCACUACAUACGCGAUUUUGCUCGAUUCCAGUCUAUGCCAUUCAUAGAUCUGGGUUCCUAGAGCAUGAAUCACACGUAAAGUUUCCAACUUUACGUGUAGAUAUUCACCAAUGAGGGAUUUAGCGCUCAAAAUGCCUCAAAAGGGUAGAUCUAGGGUGAACAAGCAACAAUGGUCCAUAGAGGUAGCGGAUCUGAGCUCUUGGAGCUCAAUCUUGCCUAGAUCUAAAGGCCAAUCAACUUAUUACGACUUAUAUUGCACAUACAAGCUUGGGGAAGGGCUCAAGAAAGACUUAAUGGAGCAAUAAGCAUAAAAACAGAGGGAAAACGGGUUAUACCUCAAAGAAAUCACUGAGAGAACACUAAGAUGCUUGGCUUCCUUCCCUUCCUCUUGAUCUACUCCUCUUCCUUCACAAAAUCUUCAAGGAAACACACUAAUAAACUUCAAACUCACAAGAACAAAGGCUAGGACGUAUGGAGAGCUUCUGAGGGUGAAUGGGGCGGAGUUGGGGCGCAAAUGGUCGUUUAAAUAGGGUGCAAACCCUUGGAAAUUAGGGUUUCAUCAGACAGCGCAGACUCGCCGAGUCGCCAACUUAAACGUGUCCCGGGUCCCGUCUCUACUCGACAAGUCGGACCUAUGACUCGUCGAGUCCAAGGCUAGAAAUGGAAAAUACUUAAAUAAGAUUUACAUACCAGGAACCAGGUGCUACAUUCUCUCUGUAGAAACAUCAUCCAAGAACACUUAAAAGGCCUCCAAAACGUGAAGAACAUCAUCUUUCAGCUUGUUAUAGAGGUAAAACACUUGAAUACCAGCCUAAAACUCAUAGUGUUCUUCGUGUUCAUCAUCUCUUGAAGGAAUGCGGCAGCACACCUUCAUCAGGUGGCUGCACACACUCAAAACACCCUCCAAAGUGAGAGUAUGGCCGCACAAUCGACAUUUUGGGCUCAAACAAGGAAUGUACGACCGCACACCCCUGUGUACGGCCGCACACACCGCUGUACCGCUGCACACUCCAGUGUGCAGCCUCAUACACAAAUCUGGCCGCAUUCCCUAGCCGCACACUCACUCAUAUGGCCAUACACCCACUUUAAUACUCAUAUUUGGCCUUAAACUUGCACAGAUCAUUAAGUAUGGGACACGGGACACUUAGUCUUGGUGAUUCCAAGCCCUUAGGGUGAUUCCCCAUCACGUGUACUCAUGAAACACCCUGGUUCUAAGUCAUAUAUGUGUGACCAUAUGAUUAAUAGGGACCACUUGCGUUCAAAGCAUCCGUUGACACUCAGGACUCAUAUCAAUCGCACAUUCAAACCCUACGUUAAACAGUGAGUUCAUACCCCUAAUUAACAUUUCAAAUGUUUUUAAAUGCUUAUAUGGGGGGGGGGGGGGGAAAAAAAGUNUAUUUCCUGUUCUUGUUUGAUUGGGGUCUUAGGGUAUAUUGUUAUCUGUCCGACUGUCGUUGAAUUCUUAGUUAUAUAUUGUAUGUAUUUGUGUUGGAUAUGAAUAUCUUCACUCAGUUCAAUAUUUUUGAGUAUCCAAGAAUGACUGCAACAUGCUAGUUAACUAUAAUUGGUAUAGUUAAGGUUUACCACUCCUCACUAUCAUUACUAUGAUACUUAUCACGAUUAGUACUAUUAUGAGUCUCUACAUGCUAAGUACUAUACAAGAAGAAUACUAUAUACUAUACAAAAGACUACUCUAUACUAUACAAAAGAAUACUAAAUACAUUAUACCGAGAAGUACACUAUACACUAAUACAAGAGAACAUACUAAAACAUAAUGUGAUACACUAUUCCUCCAUACGACACUUUACUGUGCUUUCUCCAUGUAACCUUAGUCUCCUGGAGGGAGAGCGGACACUACGUGUAUAGAUCUAUACGGGGCAGAUACUCUCACAUCCCGACUGCUAGCUACAGUCCGAGCCAACUAGGCUCAAGGAUGAUAACAUACUACUACAAUACGUAUAUAGAUCUAUACAGGGCGGAUACUCUCACAUCCCGACUGCUAGCUACAGUCCGAGCCAACUAGGCCCAGGGAUGAUAACAUGCUACUAUACUACGUAUGACCUGGAGGGUCAUGAUACAUUCGAUCGCCUAUCCGCAUGGUUACAUAAAGAUUCACAUUCGGAACCUUAAAUUAACAAAUUAUGAAUUAAAGGUAAAGUAGACUUUCUGAGGUGUAUUUAAUACAUAUCACUACCUGGAGUCUGCGGUUAUUUACUAAAUCAGUCGGCAGUAACACUGGUGGAAUAAUACAUUAUUUUCCCAUUUACUUUGUUCAAAAGAAGUUCAAACAAUAUUUUUAUAAUUGAGAGUCUAACUGGGAAAACUUUUACACACUCAAAGGAUCAAACCUACAAGUAACCAAGUCUUGGCAGAAGACUACUUUUAUUAGAAAAUAUAGGAUUUUCUAGAGAUUCACACUAUUUUCAAACUUGAUAACAACUUUCAUGUUACACAAUUUUAAACACUUUUAUACAAGCAAUGACACUAAAAUUCUUAUGAACUCACCAACUUUAUGCUAAUACUCGUUUUCAAAAUAACUUGUAUUCUCAGGUCAUCAGUUGACAGGUACAGAUACAACUUUUGAGAAGAUGGAGUAUAUAUACACAAGACUCAUCUUUUAUUUUGAUUAUACUUUUGGUGUCAAUCUGUACAGAACACGUUUGUUCUACAAAUAUUAUACUAAUGAAAUGGAUGUUGGUGCUUGUCUUUACUAUUAUGCAUUGUUAUGAUACUGUACAUGACGUCCUCCACCACAGAACGUAUUCCGCCGUUCUCGGUUUUGGGGUGUUACAGAUUGGUAUCAGAGCAUUGUUUAUAGUGAAUCAAGUAUAUCAACCCAUAAAAGAUAUACGAACUAUAAACACUUCGGGACUAAAACACUCUGACCAAGAGUAUAUACUUUUAAAUACUAAAUUAUUUAACUAAGUAUAUAUAUAUACAUCUACUAAUACAAAGGGUCAGUAUCAUACUAGAACAGAACAAAAGUAUUAAGAUUGUUGAGCAGCACAGUUAGGCUUAGAGACAUAUAGUCACAUCUGGGUGGAUGUAGCCUGAUCAACUACAUUUUCUAGGAGUGACUAGCAUGUGCCUAAGAAUGGUUGUGGUGCUGCAACAAGUCUAAUACUUACCAACACUACUAUAAAAACACUAACACAAGAAUACUAUAGGAGUAUUCUGCAUCUCUAUAAAUUUACAUAUGUGAGAACUAAAAAGGUCAUUUUUAGUAGAGCAAUAGUUUCUAAGUGGAUACGUCACAGUUACGUGUGAUUUGGGCAUUAUAGACUUAGAAUCUGUGAUCUUUGCUUUACUUCCUGUUCCUUGUUUGGUUGUGGAUUUAGAGUUAGGGUCGCUUAUUCGAAAGUCUAUUUUUCCUCGGCCGCAUGUAAUUAGUAUGCACCGUGCAAGUAUUAAUUUAACUAAUAAUGAUCAUCCUAUAAGUAUCUUAGAACGUCUAUUAACUAUUCUUUCCCCCUUUUCUUGUGUAGAUUGCAUGGCUGGCUUCCACCUCCCCGGCGAUCCGUACUUUCCAAACCAAGACAAUGGGGAAUGGCUCGAUGAGGAGCCAGAAGAUGAUCACCCGAUCCCUUUGGAUGAUCACCAUGCUGAAGGCUUUUCGGAUAGCUCCGACUCCGAGGCAGAAGUUAAUAACCUACCUCCUGUUGCUCCGGUCACAAACCCUAACCCCCGUCAGGCCUUCCAAGGCCCUACGCCUGCAUGGGUGGAAUGCAUAGAGACGUGGAGUGAAGAACAAAAUCAACCAAUGCCAUUCAAUGGAGACCGAAGCUUUUAUAACACGAGAGAAGGAGGAUCAGCAGACAGAGUCUUGCCCAUCCUAGUCCGAAGAGUUUCCCGUAAUGAAAUCCAAGGCAGGACAGCCCUCCAACGUAUCGUUGAGGUUGAUACAAAUGGAGGACUGCACUCCCUUCGCACUAGUCGUCUGGAGCAUGCUAGGGAGAGGUCUGCAGCAGAUCAUGAGGCCUUGCUUUGGGCAUUAGCUGAGACUUGAGAUGAAGUCAUAGAGCUCUGGGUUCGCCAGAGGGUAUACGAACGAUACCUCCUCGACAUGGAAUGUCAACUGGCCGACCUUAGGGUUCGCCUAAGAAACAUCCGCCACCGCCGUUAAAAGAUGACUAGCACAUCUUUUCUUUUGACUUAGGAAUAACUUUUAACAUCUGUGCUUGAAAGAAGCACUGAUCUAUAUAAUAUUCCUGUCCAUCAGUAUGCUAUGUAGUCCUCUAAACUGUCAAUCAUUUUCCCUUAUGGUUUGAUGUAAGACCUACCGUUAGGUCACUUUUCCCGAACUCAUAUUACAUCAUUAAUACCAGUAAAAUUGGCAGUUAUCUACUUCAUGGGAAAGUCUAUGUUUUCUUGUUUUCCCUACUCCGUUGCUAUGACUCUCUCUGAUAUUUGGACUAUGUCGAUUUAGUCCAUGAAACACUCUCAUUCUGUUUGCAAUUGAUUCUUACUGUUGUCAUCAUCUCUAUGAACUUUCAGUAAAAGAUGCCUCCCCGUAAGCGCCCGAACAGAGGCAGACCUACGACUCAAACUCCUCCACCACCACCUCCUCCAUAGUUCGAUCCGAUGAUGUUUCAGAUGGCUUUAACCGCAAUGGUGACUGCAGCUCUGGCUCAAAUAAAUUUUGGUGAUGUGAGUGGUGCCGGAAUGGGCGACAAUUCUAGACAUGGUGAAGUUCACCAACGGACACAGGGAUACACCUAUAAGGACUUCAUGAACUGCAAACCAACCUUCUUCAAUGGGACCGGAGGGAUCCUUUCUUUGUCCUAAUGGAUCGAAAGAACUAAAGUUGUCUUCGAAAUGUGCUCCUGCCUCGAAGAAAGCAAAAUAAAGUUCGUUAUUGCCACAUUCACUGAAAGGGCCCUCACAUGGUGGAAUGGCCAUGUCAAUUCACUUUCUUUAGUAACAGCCAACGCCAUGGGUUGGGACACAUUGAAGGACCUACUGAGAAGGGAGUAAUUCCCUAGGGGUGAGGUUCAGAAGCUCGAGGAGGAACUCUGGAACCUCAAGAUGAAAGGGACAGACAUAUUGACUUAUACGGCCAGGUUCUACGACCUAGUAGCUAUGUGCCCUAACAUGAUCUCUUCUGAAAGCAAGAAAAUUGAACAAUACAUCUGGGGUUUAGUGCCCCCGUAUCGAGGGAACGUUCUAUCAUCACACCCUGCAACCUUUGACAGCGCCAAGGAAUUGGCCCACAGGUCGAUUGAUCAUGAAAUUCCUUCCACCCCAUCAACAACCACAACGGUUGCCACUGCACCAACCACGUCAUCCGACAACAAGAGGAAACGGUGGGACCGGAAGAAGGGCAAGUCAACUCAAUCAUCCUCCAAAGACCAACAGACAGUGGCUGUCCAUGCUGCCACUACUCCUGCUGCCCCUGCACCAACCAAAACAUAUGCUGGGAACCUACCCAAGUGAACCAAGUUCUUUUUCCAUCAUCACGGCCCCUGCCGUGAAAUGCACUGCACUAACUGCAAUUGGAAGAGGCAUACCGUCCGGUUUUGCAAGUCUCAACCCAAACCCAUCAAUCAAGUUCCUAGUACCAAAGUGAGUCAAGCCUGCUAUGAUGUGGAGACACCAGACACUUCAAAAGAAAUUGUCUGAAAGUUGGGAAUGCGGGAGGAACAGGGAGACUACUUGCUAUUGGCCGCAGCGAAGCAGUAGUAGACCCCACAAUAGUCACGGGUAUGUUCCUUCUCGAUAACUCUUAUGCUUGUAUCCUAUUUGAUAGUGGAGCAGAAAGAAGUUUCGUAAACCAUAACUUUAAGCACUUACUUAAACAAUCCUCGCAACCGUUAAAAGAAACCUUCGUCGUAGAAAUGGCUAACGGAAAGACAGAGAGUUCUAACGAGAUCUACAUAGGUUGCACCCUCAUGCUAGAUAAUCAUUCAUUUCUAAUCGACCUCAUACCAGUAUCGAUCAAGAGCUUCGAUAUCAUCAUGGUCAUGGAUUGGUUGAGUCUCCAUCGUGUCGACAUCCUAUGCUUCGACAAGGCAAUCUGUCUAAAUCUACCGAAUAGCGAAACUCUGUUAAUCUACGGAGACAAACCCAAUACGAGUCUUCGCAUCAUCUCGAGUAUUCAAGCCCAGAAGUACUUACGUAAAGAAUAUCAUGCGUUCCUUGCAUACGUUGUCGACACGAUCCAAAAAAUGAAAAAUCUAAAAGACUUCCCUGUAGUAUGCGACUUCCCCGACGUUUUUCUAGAAAAGCUACCAGGUUUACCUCCCCAACACCAGGUCGAGUUCAGGAUCGAAUUAAAUCCAGGAGCUACCCCUGUAACCAACACUACUAGAAAAAUAGCCUUUUACGACGCUCAUUGCGCGUCGUAAAAGGCUCAGACGACGCGAAAAUGUGCGUCAAGGAAGGCCCUGUCAUAAAGAGAGACGAUGCGCUUUUGCGCGUCGUCUAUAGACGAUGCGCAUUUACGACGUGCAUUUACGACGCGCAUUUACGACACGCAUUGCGUAUCAAGGAAGGCCCUGUCAUAAAGGAAGAUGACACGCAUUCGCAUGUCGUAACCUUACGACGCGCGUGUUAAUGACACGCAAUGCGUAUCAAGAAAGCCCCCGUCAAGAAAGGCCAUGUCGUAAAUGAAGACGACACACAUUUUUGCGUAUCGUAAUUUUAAAAGUUAAAAAAAAAUAUUAUUUAUAGAUUUUCUAAUUUUCAAAUUAGAUUUUCAUUUAACUUCUCAUAUUAUAAAAUAAAAUACCAUAUACAAAAAUAUAAUCCAUUGCAUAAAAUUUAAUGUCAUACAAAUAAUCGAUCCUUGGAAAGAUAAAACAUAUCAAUAGAAGUUGUUUUCUGCCUAUACAUGAUUAUCACAUACUAAAUAACAAGUUUUAUUUCAUAUUCAUACAUAUGAUUACAUUAUUCAUUAAACAAAUAUAUACUUACAUCUUCGCCUAAAAUGUUAUUACAUGAUGCAAGUUGGCCACUUCAUUGAUGGACCACCAAGAGGAAGACCAACAACUGCCCUAAAUUUUUCCAAGAUGUGCCCUUACUCAUGUCCUGUAACUUUAAACAUUUAAUAAAGUCAAAUAUCUCCUAAAAUAAAAUUGCACAAGAAACAAAGACUGAAAUUGGAAGAAGUACACUAUAAGUUUGUUUUACCAAAGAGUGGCAUGAAUGAUCGGGUGCUACAAGUUUGUCCAAGCUGCCAAACAAAGACUGCAUGUGUAAUAUUAGUUAUACACUUGUCUUCUUAGUUUCAUUCACUUGUCUCUUUAAGUGAAUGAAACAAUAUAUCUGCAAGAAAUGACAGGCUUCAAGAAAUGUAUAAUAUUAGUUAUACUCAUGGUAAAAUGUCAUAGACUGUAAUUGGAAUUCCACAAAAUUACAUCUAUGUAUAAGUGGAGUUUAUAUCUAAAAUGCACAUGUUGCUUUCAAAUGUAACACAAAACCAAAAUAAAUAAAUAAAGUAUUACCUGGACUAGUGUAUAAGUGGAGUUAGUAUCUUCUUUAGCAACAAAGGAAUAAACAUCUGUGCUAUUUUUUGCAACUCUACCACUGCUACUAAAGUCCCAAUUAAGAACUUGAAGCAUGAAAUGGAGUGCAGUUGUACAAACUCUUGCUUCUGAGACAGAAGCAUCAGAAUUUUUAAUUUCAGCAGUAACAUUUUGUGCAGCCCCCAGUGCCCAACAAUAAAAAUUAUGUGGAAUUAACAAAGAAAAAGAAGAAAAUAUGAGAAAUUGGUUAGCAAAAAGAUAAUUUUUCUAGGGUCCAAUCAUGUACAACUUUCAAAAUCCUUUACAUUUGAGUUUCUUUUGUUCUUUAUACACUUGUAUGAACUUCAUACAAGUGGGAUAUAUAAUCAUUUUAGUGCAAUGCCAUGCAGUUCAUCUGCUUUAUAUACUCAAAGCAGAAAACCUCAUUCAAAAAAAAAACCUAGGGGGUGUUUCUUUUUUGCUUAAUGAGCUUAAUUGGUUAAGCACUUAAACUAGAUAGAUGACUUAUUAGGUCAAGCAAAAAAAUCUAUUUGUCUUUUGGAAUGUAAGGGUGAAAUGGUCAUUUAGUCUCAUUCAUACGGUUUAUUUGGUUUGGAAACAGACAUCAUGUAUACAAUACUUUAUCUAGAGAUACAUCAUUACCCAUACAGGACAUAAUGAGAAAAGAAAAUAAACAGCUCCUGAAAAUAUGUUGUUAUAGGAAAUGGUUUAAUGAGAUGAUGAUAAACAAAAUGAAAAACCUUAAGAUAAUUAAUAACAUGAUGGAGAAAAUUCAGACACCUGCAACAUUAUUUUUUAGCAUGAGAACUUUGUAUAAAUGAAAAUUGGUACUCAAUAACAUGAUGAAACAUAUACCAGUGACUCAAGGAAACUGAGUCCAAUGAACUGCACUUCUAGUCCAUGGUUCCCAGCAAUAGCCAUAUUUAUCUGAAGUCAACAAAUUACAAUUAAUUUCAGGCACAAAAAAAUGAAGUUUCCAGCUAUGAAUUAAAAAUUAUAAUAAUUAGUUUUAACAAGGAUGAAUUUACUUCAGGGACUUACCUCAGAGAAAAAUCCAUCCUUUUCUGCAGCAGUAAGUUCCAACCUACACUAGGGCCAGACAAUCUGAAAUAGUUAGCAAUAUUCUUUAUUUUUUUAAUGGCUAGUUAAGUUACAGAUUGUCAACAUCAAAUAAUUAACAGGAAGAUAUGUUGAUGUUGUCUUAUAAGCGAACCAAGUUUGUAUGUUGAUGGUGUAGUCUGAAUUGACAUGAGUGACCAAUAGUAUAAGGUCUAGACACCUGAGAUGUUCUAAGGAUGCUAUUUAGUUUUUGUAAAUUAUGGUAAAAGCAACCGCUAACAGGUAAUAAGCCUGAAAACAAAAUAAAAAAGAAGAAAGAAAAAAAAAGUUAGCACAAACAGUAGUCCUAGAAACAGAAGUAGAAGGAGAAGUAUGGGGAAAGGGUAAAAUUCACAAACCUAUAAACAGUUCACUAAUACACUGAGACCAAAGCAAUCCUUCGAGGCUCUAGACCUAUAAAUAUUUGGAUAAAAAAUUUAUUCAAACUGAUGCACUGAAAUGCAAAUAGAAUGGAAACAAAACAAACACAAUAUUAACCUGCAAGGCUGGAAGCUGCUUUCAUAGCCCUCUGUUUUUCUUUAUUGUUGUGUACACCCAAUUUCACAACUACUUUCUGCAAUUGGAUACAAAGUAACCAACAAAUAAAUGUUAAUCUCAAUAAUGAAAAUAAUGACGCUAAAAAGCAUAAGUUUGAUAAUGGUUUUGAAGCAUAGUAGUAGGAUUUCUUCUGUGUAUGCUCUUUAUCUGUAAUCACAAGGUUCAGAAGCAAUUUUAUUUUAUUUUUCCUAUUUUUGACUACAAUUUUUGUACCAUAGGUAUGAUAUCAAGAUAGAAACAAUUUUUUCGUGGAAUAUCCCUUCAAAUGUUGGAAUGGUAAAUUUAAAAAACCAAUUAACAAAACUAUUAUUUGCUGGAAUGGUAUAUGUAAAGAAUCAAAUUUUGUAAGUAUUUAAUUAACAUGCUCUUUUUUUUAAAAAAAUAAAAAAAAUCAAUUAACAAAAAAGUAAACCAUAUUUACAAAAAAAAAGAUGGAUUGUAAUCCCAUUCUAAAACUUGAUGGUGUGAAAAAACAGGACACCGAUAACAAACAUAACCACGAACGUUUUGAAAAACUGACUGUUGGCAAAUUCCCUAACAGAUUUCAACCCCCACAAAAACAAACCCUAAUAAUUCUAUUUAUUCCUUAAUAGAAACACCCAAUGCAAAAAAAAUUUAAAUAUAUGAUGGUAAAAGAAGUUACUGAAAGGAAAUAAGCCUCAAAGCGUAAACAAAAAUUGCACAACCUUCCUAGAAUAAGUAAAAACCACUAUAGUAGAAGGCAAAGUAGGAGAACACAAGGGGGGGGGGGUAGGAAACAAGGAAAGGGAGAAAAAUGGAAAUGUGAAUUGUGUAAUGUUAACUGUGAAUUCUGCAAAUUAAAAGGUUGAGAGCAUGAACUAAGAAAUGGAGAGCAGUCAUGAGACCUGUACGUAGAAGUAGGGCUGCCAUAAGAUCAUAUACAAGACUGUGAAUCAUGUUGGAGAGUAAAUCGGUAAAUGUACUUCUAUCUUCACGUUCGUUGUCCCAAAACUCUGAGCAAUUGGCUCCUACUUUUGUCGUUUGCACCAGAUCACCUUUAUGUACCCUAGGAACGAGCACAACUCCAAUAUAACUCUCAGCUUCUAAUGAACUCACAUAUCCUCUGUGUAAGGAAAAUGAAAUGACAUUUUAUGGUGAAGUCAAAUGAUGUUCAUUAUAAAAUAAAGAGGUGGGGAGAGGAGAUAACCUAAAGCAGAAUCUGCAAUUGCAAAACAUGAGGAUCUAGCUCCCCAAAUUCCGUUCCUUUGUAGCAUUGCAUCAUUGUGCAGUCGUUGAAAUAAGAGAAAAUAAAGAUACCUAAGAGAAAAAAUGGAAGCACUAAUUAUCAGAAUUAACCAGACAUCCAGAAGAAACAAAACACAAUGAAAAAGAAGAAGAAAGGUUCUUGUUCGUUUAUUGGUUCCAGAUAGGAUGGGGACUUUAAUUUUUUUAGGAGAACCGACGAUAGAGGGUUGAAUAGGGCCAUAGGAGCCAUUGUUACAACCUAUCAAUUUCAUUCAUGAAUUAUUAUGGGAAUAAUACAAGAGGCGAGUGUCGAUUGCAAUUUCAAAUGAAGUAUUAAAAGAUGCUAGACCAAAAACCUGAUAGAAGUCGUCGGAGCCAGAACCAACAGAACUACCACCGAAGGUAUUAUUGACAAAAAUAGGGACGGGAUAUAAUAUGCGAAAUAGGUUCACCUCGAGGUCCUCCUCUACCUGAUUUGAUUCGAGAGGCAUGUAUUCAACAAGGAUUUUUGGGGAAUUCGUAGAUCCUCAAUUCGGUUGUACCGGAAGAAUAAAGUUUAGCGGCGACAUCGGAUUGAGAAACGGAGGGAGACAGAGCGGCAUGAUGGUGGCGAUGGCGCCAAUGGAUGUAACGGCGAGAAAUGCUAGAAGGAAGAAGAUGGGUUUUAGGUUAGAGAGAGAGAAAGGAAGACGAAGACCCUAGGCUUGUUUCAUGUUGAUUGGAAGUUUCUUGCUGAUUAGAAGCGGAGGGGGGGUUAAUUCUUCACAUAGGCGGGGUUUUAAUUUUUGGGGAUUUCAUUUCCCGCUCAAAACGCGUGUUUCAUUAAAAAAAAAUAAGGCGACACACUUACAUGACACACACUUUAUAAUAGGCGCCCUCCGUAUUUCUUUUUUUUUCUUUUCUAACACUAAUUUCAGGGCACGCACAAAAAGCGUGUCUUCUAUCCUUCAAAUUUUAUAAGAGAUGACAUUACUUUUUGGACGUAUGCUUUUGCGUAUCGUAAAUCACCGCGUGUCAUUGUUUGCGCGUCAUUAAAGGCUGUUUUUCUAGUAGUGCAAACCGCCCUAUCGUCUAUCACCUGCUGAGAUGCAAGAGCUGUCCGGCCAACUUAACGAGCUGCUCAAUAAGGGCUUUAUAAGACCAAGCUUCUCACCCUGUGGGGCACCGGUCUUGUUCGUAAAGAAGAAGGAUGGAUCGUUCCGUAUGUGCAUCGAUUACAGAGAACUCAACAAACUGACGGUCAAAAAUCGUUACCCUCUUCCUCGUAUAGAGGACCUAAUUGACCAACUGCAAGGGGCGAGUUACUUUUCCAAGAUUGAUCUUAGGUCCGAGUAUCACCAGUUACGAGUCCUUGAGGAGGAUGUCCCGAAAACAGCCUUCCAAACUCGUUAUGGACACUACGAGUUCGUAGUGAUGCCGUUCGGACUGACCAACGCGCCCAUGGUAUUCAUGGAUCUAAUGAAUAGGGUGUGUCGCCCUUACUUGGAUCAGUUCGUCAUAGUCUUCAUUGAUGACAUACUCAUCUACUAUCGAAGUAAGGAGGAGCAUAGCGAUCACCUACGACAAGUCCUAGAAACCCUACAAUCAGAGAAGCUAUAUGCGAAGUUCUUGAAGUGAGAAUUCUGGAUCCGAAGAGUCGAAUUCUUGGGACACGUUGUUAGCGAAGAAGGAAUCCAUGUGGACCCAUCCAAGAUUAAAGCUAUUGAGAACUGGUCAGCACCAAAGACGCCCAAAGAAAUACGUCAAUUUCUAGGCAUUGCUGGCAACUACCGCAGAUUCAUUCAGAACUUCUCUCGAAUCGCGAAACCCCUUACAUCAUUGACUCAGAAAAGCGUAGCCUUUGACUGGGGAGAGAAACAGGAGAAGGCAUUCCAGACCCUGAAACGAGCCUUAUGCACCGCACCGAUACUAUCCCUUCCCGAGGGGACAGAUGAUUUUGUGGUUUACUGUGAUGCGUCCAAUCAGGGACUCAGUUGUGUUAUGAUGCAACAAAGUAAGGUCAUCGCCUAUGCUUCAAGACCACUAAAGACACACGAGGUCAACUACACUACCCACAAACUCGAAUUAGGAGCGGUUGUGUUCGCUCUAAAGAUCUAGAGGCACUACCUGUACGGUACGAAGAGCACGAUAUACACCGACCACAAAAGCCUCCAACAUGUACUCAACUAGAAGGAGCUCAAUAUGAGACAACAACGGUGGGUCGAGCUACUCAGUGAUUACGAAUGUGAAAUUUGUUAUCACCCGGGUAAAGCCAAUGUAGUAGCGGACGCCCUAAGUCGGAAGGAAUAUUUUGGCCGAAGGGUCAAAUCACUGACAUUGACCAUCCAUUCUCACUUAUCCGCGCAAAUCCGAGAAGCCUAGAUGGAAGCCCAAAAACCAGAGAACGUGCUGAACGAAGCCUUGAGGGGAAUGGAUAAGAAUCUUGAGAUCAGAGGAGACGGAGUUUAUUAUUUCAUGAACCAGAUCUGGACCCCAAAGUUCAGUGGUUACAGGGAGGUUGUUGUAACGCCCGUAGAUCAGGGCUAGUCAAUUUAGAGACAAUAAGCAUCAAAAAUGACUUUUUGAUGGAAUAUUAUUUAGAAGGAUUAAUCUUAACCAAGUUGUAGUAUAUGUCUCAAGGUUUCCGAAAAUAUAAAGAACGCCGAAAUCCGAGUUAUAACGAAGAAGUUAUGACCUGUCGAAGUUUCGCGAAAGAACCAGCACGAAACAGCACGAUAUAAAUAGUGAAUUUACGUUAGAGCGAUAUUUGGCUUUAGCGAUCUAAAUAAAAGUCGUAGAAUACGUUAAACCGAGAGCGUGCAUAAAAAGAACGUCUAAAGCUGACUUCGGAUGAGGAAGUUAUGAUUUUUCGAAGUUUCAGCAUUAGCAGUAUGCAGCCCGAAACUCGAGAUUGAGGUCGAGUGAUAUUUAGCCAAAAAUUUCUAAAUGAGAAUUGAAGAUCUCAUCAAUAGUAUUCCACCGAUAAAAAGACAGACAAAAACGGAGUUCAGAUGAAGGAGUUAUGAAUUUCGAACGGAGUUUUCCUGUCCCGGCCUACUAAAAAUAAUAUAUAAGUAAUAUAAUUAUAAUAUAAUAAAAAUAAAUCAAAAUUAGCCAAUGGAGUCUAAACGAGAGUUGUAGAGCAUAAUCUCACCUUCACGUCGAUAUAAAGAACGUCGAAAAUGGAGUUCGUAUGAGAAAGUUAUGAAUUUCUGAAGUUCGGGGCGCGAACCCCAAAGCUGUGUCAGAGACCACGAUGUGGCAAGCAGUGCCACGACAUGGCAAGUCUUCUGAGACCUCCGGGAGUCCCCCAGACACAACUUGCGAUGACGUAUGUAGUGACGACCAAGCCUACGACGUGGAAAAAGGGUGCCACGACGUGGCAAGGGCCAAAUUUGCCCUAUAAAUAGAUUUGAAGGGCCANNNNNNNNNNNNNNNNNNNNNNNNNNNNNNNNNNNNNNNNNNNNNNNNNNNNNNNNNNNNNNNNNNNNNNNNNNNNNNNNNNNNNNNNNNNNNNNNNNNNNNNNNNNNNNNNNNNNNNNNNNNNNNNNNNNNNNNNNNNNNNNNNNNNNNNNNNNNNNNNNNNNNNNNNNNNNNNNNNNNNNNNNNNNNNNNNNNNNNNNNNNNNNNNNNNNNNNNNNNNNNNNNNNNNNNNNNNNNNNNNNNNNNNNNNNNNNNNNNNNNNNNNNNNNNNNNNNNNNNNNNNNNNNNNNNNNNNNNNNNNNNNNNNNNNNNNNNNNNNNNNNNNNNNNGUACUAAGUAUAUGUGUUAUGUGAGUGUAUCGAUGUUAUCUUCUAAUCUCAUAGAUAUGAUUUAUUCUCUAUGAAAUAUGUGUUAUGUUUAUGUGCCUCAUCUUUUAUCUGGAAUGUGUUUUGAAUGAACAUACUAUACAGGUUUUAAACUAUGUCUAAAAAUGUAUAUUUUAUCUAAUAAAAUGUUGGGUAGAACAUGGGUAGAUAGUUGUCUUGUGAUAAAAGGAUAAGAGGCCUCGAUGUCAUUGUAAUCCAGUCAUCUAGCGGAAUUUAGAUGACAACCACGAACUUUUCUAGACAGUCCAGUGGAACGCUAGCAGGCUCAUAACCUGUAGGUGUUAAUGAACUUGGGUGUUCAUUCGCUGUAUUCCAUCCUCCUCAUGGUUGCCUUAUUUGACUUAUAUUGCUGAGGAACCCCCGAAGCAUGUGUUGUCGCCCCGAUGAAAUAUUCUUAGACUAGGUCCCUUAUGUUAGUUGUCUUAGGGACGUAAAGUGAGAAUAACGGGAAUGGGUAAUUGGGUUAUUAUUGGUUGAUGAAAUUAAAUUAAUUAUUUAUUGUGGGUUGAAAACCCUAUAUGCUCACCAGGCUCCCAAGCCUAACCCACUCAGUUUUCUUUGCAUUACAGGUAAUGGCACAAGAGUAUAAGUUGGUGGAC
rnacentral:lncRNA from 1 species